UGAGGAAUAUUGGUCAAUGGUCGCUAGACUGAACCAGCCAAGUAGCGUGCGGGAUGAAGGCCCUCCGGGUCGUAAACCGCUUUUAGACGGGGAUAAAAGGGCGUACGUGUACGCCGUAUUGCAUGUACCGUCAGAAAAAGGACCGGCUAAUUCCGUGCCAGCAGCCGCGGUAAUACGGAAGGUCCGGCGUUAUCCGGAUUUAUUGGGUUUAAAGGAGCGUAGGCGGACUUUCAAGUCAGUGGUAAAAUCGUGUGGCUCAACCAUACCUCGCCAUUGAAACUGGAAGUCUGGAGUGCACACAGGGGUGCCGGAAUUCAUGGUGUAGCGGUGAAAUGCUUAGAUAUCAUGAAGAACUCCGAUCGCGAAGGCAAGUGCCCGGGGUGCAACUGACGCUGAGGCUCGAAGGUGCGGGUAUCGAACAGGAUUAGAUACC
rnacentral:rRNA from 1 species